UUAUUUAUUAUCUAUAUAGUAUUACCAAUACAAUAUAAGAAGAUAUGCAGGAAGCAUUCAGUGGGAGGUUUAACAGCAGGUGCAUUUAAAGCAGCAGCUUUGGGCUGUGAAGCAGUAAAAUAUGGUCUGUACAAUGAUGCUGCAGAGUUGAGGUGUGUUCUUUGGCUUUGGUAGUGUUUGUGAGAGUGGAAGUGUUUGAGUUUGUGAGUGUGUGCAUGCACAAGAAAUAGUGUGUGUCUAGUGGUAAACUGGGUCGUGAACACUGGUAGUGUUGUAAGAUCUAAUUUGGAUAUAACAGAGCCACAGGGAAGCAGUUACACUAACAGGGAAAGGGGUGUGAGCAAAAGGAAGGUAAAAGCAAGUAAUUAAUGGUGCUGACAAUUAAAUGUAGUAUUUUAAAUUUGAAAAUUACUAAAUGUUAGGGAUUUAAAGCACAUUCGACAGUAAAGAUCAUGAUUGAGUAUAACUGAAAAUCAGGACAACUGAAGGAGGUAAGAAAACAAAAAUUGGGCUGAAAUCUGUGCGCAGACAAAAUUUAAAUAUGAAAUAAUUAACUUCCAAGGGGAAAUUAGAGCUUAAGUCAAGUGUGAUAAAUGUAUUUUGACCAUGUAUUUUAACUUGCAGGAAGGAAACACGGCGGAAGCAUUGAAAGACUUCCAAAAUGAAUAGAGAACCUUAAACAUGAUUAUAACGAAUACAAAAGUCUCGUUUCAGAUCUGUUUACACAGGGGGAGAAGGAGGACGUGGUGCAAAGGUGGACCAGUCCAGACACAGAGUGAGGGCUCCUCCGCCAUUACGCACGAAAGGGGAACAAGCAUGGCUGGAUUGAGCCUUUCCAGGUGACUGAGAGAACAACGUACGCAUAUCAACUGAUAAGCGAGGGUUCGACAGCUGUGCAGCAACAGAGAUCGCUCACAGAGCAGCAGGAGGAGACGAGACAGCAGCAGCUGAAUCGUCUGACCCCGCAGCAGCAGCAGCAGGAAGGAGGGGCAGCAGAGCCCCCGCAGCACGGGCCUGGCCUGGCCACAGCAGAGAAAAGAGUUUCUCAGAGCACAGCAGCAGCACACAGCCUGGCUGUGACCGAGGAGCAGAAGUGAGGGAGUGACUCAUUCAACAACUGUUCGAUUGCGUCAAAGUACACUACAUACAAGACUCUUAAACACAUCUCAUUAAAGAACACACAUAGUCUUAUCACACACCAACUCAUACUUUUCAUUCACUGAUACUGCAGACAUCAAGAGCCAGAAUAAAGCUCUUCGUACGUGGGGCUGAGGUAGUCUACCUUCAGAACCCUGAAACAAGAAGAAAGAAGAAAAGAACAACACGCAUUGCAACUUUAACACUUACACAUAUAGGGGUAUAAACUGUGAUUUGCUAAAUUAGGGGGGGAACACAUUAUUUUU